GUCUCCGUAGUUCAGUGGCAGAACGGUUCUCUCCUAAAGAACUGGUCGAGGGUUCGAUUCCCUCCGGGGACAC
rnacentral:tRNA from 1 species